rnacentral:misc_RNA from 1 species
UUUCCUGUUUUAAUUAGGAUUUAGUUUUUUCCUAUUUAGUUUAGGAUACCUAAUGUAUUUUAGCUUAUCUAAAUUUCCUAAAUAGUAGGUAUAUUGAUGUAGAACAAAGGAAAAAAAAAAAUAAAGAAGAAGAGAAAUCAUGGACCAAUCCUUAAAAAAGAGAAUUAAUUCUCAAUAAUUUUAUUUAAUUUCAAUAAAUUUGAUUUGAUGGAAUAUCUAGAAGAAACUAAAAUGUAGAGACUGUUGACGAGGGAUUUUUCAGUGCUUUCGAGCACACACUCUUUCUGCUCCGGUUCAUCUGGAGGCGUAUCAGAGUUUGACACGUAUCCAUCAAGUUGAAAGACUUUUCCGUGUAUUAUUGAUAAAUGAAGAAAAGAUCGAUUGAAACGUGUUGAUUGCAGAAUUGCCGUGUCUUGAUCCUGUGCAUCACUGUGCAGGAGAUAUUGCGACACCCUUAAAUGGAGGUUGCCUCUUCCUUAAUUUAUUUUUUAACUUUUAAAUUUUAUAUUUUAUAUGUGAUUUCAGGUUUUUAACAU